rnacentral:rRNA from 1 species
GAUGAACGCUGGCGGCGUGCUUAACACAUGCAAGUCGAACGAUGAAGCCCAGCUUGCUGGGUGGAUUAGUGGCGAACGGGUGAGUAACACGUGAGUAACCUGCCCUUGACUCUGGGAUAAGCCCGGGAAACUGGGUCUAAUACCGGAUAGGAGCGCCUGUCGCAUGACGGGUGCUGGAAAGAUUUUUCGGUCAUGGAUGGACUCGCGGCCUAUCAGCUUGUUGGUGAGGUAAUGGCUCACCAAGGCGACGACGGGUAGCCGGCCUGAGAGGGUGACCGGCCACACUGGGACUGAGACACGGCCCAGACUCCUACGGGAGGCAGCAGUGGGGAAUAUUGCACAAUGGGCGGAAGCCUGAUGCAGCGACGCCGCGUGAGGGAUGACGGCCUUCGGGUUGUAAACCUCUUUCAGCAGGGAAGAAGCGAAAGUGACGUACCUGCA